UUGAUUAAAACACACUUAAAAUCUCACAUAGCAUUCAUGCAAAUAUCCAAACAACUAAUAAAAACAAAGUUUUUGUGAACAAGAGCCACCCCAAAAGUACAUCAAAAGUUUUCAAAGACAAAACUAAUACAAAGAACUCAAAAUGAAAUAACAACAACUUCUCAAAAUCACAAACUCCUUAAUCCUCUUCCUCUUGGCCACCACCUACAUCACCAAGGACAUCCUCCAUUU
rnacentral:lncRNA from 1 species